AAAGACCGUAGUUUUAACUGUGUAUAUUUAACGCAUGACCGUCUAUUUUAUUUGAAAAAUAUUAUGAUUAGUAUUUUUAUUAUUAGUAGAAGAUAAAAUAUGAAUAAAUAUUUUAUGUGUAACUAAAUAUUUUUAUUUUUUUAAUAAAUUUUUAAAUAAGAGGUCAAAUAUUGAACACGAAAAUACACAACCGUACCUAAA
rnacentral:pre_miRNA from 1 species